AGCAGCCGCGGUAAUUCCAGCUCCAAUAGCGUAUAUUAAAGUUGUUGCAGUUAAAAAGCUCGUAGUUGAAUUUCGGGGUCAGUAAGUUGGUCGUGCCACUGGUAUGUACUGGCUUUACUGAUUCCUCCUUCUUGUAGAACCGUAAUGCCAUUAAGUUGGUGUUGCGGGAAAACAGGACUGUUACUUUGAAAAAAUUUAGAGUGUUUAAAGCAAGCUAACGCUUGAAUACAUUAGCAUGGAAUAAUGAAAUAGGACGAACGAUCCUAUUUUGUUGGUUUCUAGGAUUGACGUAAUGAUUAAUAGGGAUAGUUGGGGGGCCAUUAGUAUUCAAUUGUCAGAGGUGAAAUUCUUGGAUUUAUUGAAGACUAACUACUGCGAAAGCAUUUUGCCAAGGAUGCUUUCAUUAAUCAAGAACGAAAGUUAGGGGAUCGAAGACGAUCAGAUACCGUCGUAGUCUUAACCAUAAACUAUGCCGACUAGGGGAUCGGAUGAUGUUAAUUUUUUUCAAUGACUCAUUCGG
rnacentral:rRNA from 1 species